rnacentral:rRNA from 1 species
AACGAACGCUGGCGGCGCGUCUUAAGCAUGCAAGUCGAACGGCAAGAGAGGAGCUUGCUUCUCUCCUAGAGUGGCGGACUGGUGAGGAACACGUGGGUAAUCUACCCUUAAGAUGGGGAUAGCUGCUAGAAAUAGCAGGUAAUACCGAAUACACUCGAAGUUUCAUAAGAAGCUUUGAGGAAAGGAAGCUACGGCUUCGCUUGAGGAUGAGCUUGCGUCCCAUUAGCUCGUUGGUGAGGUAACGGCCCACCAAGGCGACGAUGGGUAUCCGGCCUGAGAGGGUGACGACACAUUGGGACUGAGAUACGGCCCAAACUCCUACGGAGGCAGCAGCUAAGAAUAUUCCGCAAUGGACGGAAGUCUGACGGAGCGACGCCGCGUGGAUGAAGAAGGCUGAAAAGUUGUAAAAUCCUUUUGUUGAUGAAGAAUAAGGGUGAGAGGGAAUGCUCAUCUGAUGACGGUAAUCGGCGAAUAAGCCCCG